rnacentral:lncRNA from 1 species
CCUGGGUCUGGGGGCGUGGCUGCUGAAAGGAAGCCAAAAUGUAGAGUCGGAGGGAGCUUUGGGCUGGAGAGUGGGAGCGUUCCAUGAAGUAGAGAGCGGGUUAAGAUUAGGGAAAGUGAAGUUCAGAAAGGGGGCCAAAGUAGAGAAGUAGGUCCAAGCGAGAUUUAGUAGAAGUCAAGGAGGUUUUUUGGUUUAUAAGGUAAAUAAACAAAAAACAACUUGACUCUGGCCCCCUUGUUACUGAAGGGCUGUGUGGGUGACAGAAGACAGAAAUAAAAAAGACGGAAUGUAAGCAGUAGUGGGUUAUUUGUCUGAUGAAUGAGACAGCUAAUAAAACUGGAGCCCAGCCCGGGUCCGAGAAAGAGGGGGCGAAGGAACAGAAGCCGGCGCCUCCAACCAGGCUCCGGGCCAGAAGAGCUCAACGCCCGGGGCCUCCCCUCCGGAUGGGGGCUGCUCCGGCCUAGUGCACGCAGCUGCCUCGGCGAAGGGUUAACCCGGCGCCCAGAGCCCCUGUCGGCUCGGAGGGCGGCGGAGAGGAAGGGCUGCUGCCAGGGGCGCAGCCGCGACUGUGGCGUGUACGUGGGGGGCAGGGGCUCCUACUCACCCGGGCCGGCCGCCUCCGCCUCCGCCGCCCCGACCGCCGCCUCGGCGGUCCAUCCCUGCGGCGGGGGGCCUGUAGCCGCGGCGCUCGAGUAACAACCGCCGGCCGGGCCGGCCCCUCCCCCCUGCCCAACGUCUGUCCUCAGGGCCGCUCCGCAGACCCGGCCUCGGCCGCCGCCGCCGCCGCCGCCGCCGCCGCCGCAGCGCUACGUGGCCGCCGCUCCGACGUCUCGCGACUCCCUUCCGAGCGCGCGAGGGCGAGCGGGGCUGGCGGGGCGGGCGGUGCGCGGGGAGGGAGGCAGGGGAGGGGGGGGGGUGUGCGUGUGUGGUUGUGUGUGCAGAGAGGGGGGCAGGGAGAGAGGGAGGGCGAGCAGCGGCGAGAGCGCGCGCGCGCCCGCGGCCCCUUCCCUUGCCGGCCCCCCCCCACCCGCCCAACAGGGAGCCCGACACCUCCCUCCGCCCGCCCCCCUGGCAUCCCGGCCGCUGGGCGCGGCGGCGCGCAUGCGCAGCCCUCGGGGCCGGCCCUGGCGCACCUUUUCUCCCCGCUGCCACAUUGUGAGCGCUUCGCCUCCCACACAACCGCCGACUCCCGCUCCACCCCCGCCUCCCCUACUCCGCCCACUGCCGAGCGCCCAGGUAAACUUCUAGGUAAUCCAAAACUGCUCCUUUAG